CCUGGCUCUAUGCUUCAUAGGGGAAACCUACUCUGCCACUUCCAAAGAAGAACCUGUUCUGCAGAUCAAGAGAGGAUUUCCAUUUCCAGGGCUGUCCAAAUUUAGAGGACAGAGGCAUAAGUAUUCAAUGGAGGUUAAUGAGCCCCCCUUGUUCACUCAGGAAUACUUCCUCCACCUCUGUGCCCCAUUUUGAGUGACCAAGGACAACUGGAGAUUCUUGCCCAGUCUCUGUGCUCUGGGAACGAGAGGCUGAGGUUAAUCUCAGAUCCCUAUGAGGAUUGCUGAGUUGGCUCUUUUCUGAUGGGGUUUUCCUGAAUGGAUCUCUCAAGCCCUUAGAUUUGCAUGUACUUCCUGGUAGACACUGAAAUGAGUAGUGCUGGGCUUCCCCGAUCUUGACACUGCUAAGAGACAGAAGAGUGAGUGGGAGGCGAAGCCAGAGACAGUCCACAGUUCCUAAGUCUCUGUGUGAGAAGACAUCUCAAAGUGCCUUGCACCCCAGGGGAAGGGGACAUCUUGAAGGACAUCCAAAAGCACUACUAGCAAUUGAGGCACUAUGGGAGAACAGGUCAUAUCUUCCCAGGAUGCACCGGUACAAGCCCAAUUGUAUAGCAGGGAGAGUGGCGUGGGCUAGUGGACAGAGUAGGAGACUGGCAGGUGGGGAAACUGAGGCACGGAUGUGCAGUGAUUCAUCCUAAACCACAAUGGGAGUUGGUGUCAGAGGUGAGAUGAUGCUUCAGGACCUCUUGGCUGCCUGUCCUGCGUUCAGGCCACUAGAUCUUACUUUUCCCAGGGUUACGCUACAUCCUGGAUCGGGAGAGUGUGGACUACAGGGGUCCUUCUCAAACUGUGUCUUCAAGAAAAUCAAAUAAAAUGGAAUCUCAUGUUAGGAGGCAGAGAAUGACCCCUGAAGAACUGAAUUUCUGCCACACCCCUUGCAAAUCAACAGACACUUCCUUAUUCAAUACCUCUCUUUGCAGAGAAGGGGUCCCCACACAUUCUUGUUGGAGCCACUAUAUGUUUUCUCCCUCCCCUUACACUUUGCAGCUGCCUUCAUACUCCCCAACACUUAUUCCUGCAGCAAGGCUCUGACACUGAUUCAAGAACCAACCAGACAAAAGACUGCUUAGCUGAUGAGAUCUGACAGCAUCACAGCCCAAGGUGGUAUGGCUAGAGGCUAAACUGCACUGUUCUCCUGGCAAGUGUGCCAUCAUUUUCCUCUGCAGCUGUAACAUGUUGUUUUUGCAGCCUCUAGCAUAUUGAUAUUGCAAAGGAAAAGAGUUUC